rnacentral:rRNA from 1 species
GUGCCAGCCGCCGCGGUAAUACAGAGGUGGCAAGCGUUGUUCGGAAUUACUGGGCGUAAAGGGCGCGUAGGCGGUCUUGUAAGUCCUGUGUGAAAUCCCUCGGCUCAACUGAGGAACCGCACAGGGGACUGCAAGGCUUGAGUUCGGGAGAGGGAAGUGGAAUUCCGGGUGUAGCGGUGAAAUGCGUAGAUAUCCGGAGGAACACCGGUGGCGAAGGCGGCUUCCUGGACCGACACUGACGCUGAGGCGCGAAAGCUAGGGGAGCAAACGGGAUUAGAUACCCGCGUAGUCC